rnacentral:tRNA from 2 species
GCUUCAGUAGCUCAGUCGGUUAGAGCACCUGACUGUUAAUCAGGGGGUCGUUGGUUCAAGCCCAUCCUGAAGCG